ACGGUGAGUAACACGUGAGUAACCUGCCCUUGACUUUGGGAUAACUUCAGGAAACUGGGGCUAAUACCGGAUAGGAGCUCCUGCUGCAUGGUGGGGGUUGGAAAGUUUCGGCGGUUGGGGAUGGACUCGCGGCUUAUCAGCUUGUUGGUGGGGUAGUGGCUUACCAAGGCUUUGACGGGUAGCCGGCCUGAGAGGGUGACCGGCCACAUUGGGACUGAGAUACGGCCCAG
rnacentral:rRNA from 1 species